UAUUUCUCUAAAUCCUUCCCCAGCCGCAAAACUGCCAAAAAUGCAGAGUCAUCUUCAUGCAAUUGCACACACACUUUUACUUGUUCCGUUACAAUGUGAAGGCCUCAUAAGAAUUUCACAUCUGUUAUCUAUUUACCUUUAAUUUCUUAAGUUUUAAAUCUGGCGUCUAACUAUCAAAAAAUCAUAUGGCAAACGCAAUUAUCAGUCCUAAAAAAAUUGGUACUAGUAACUUUGUAAAAUCCGUGUUUUGUAGAACGAUUUUACAAACUUGUACAAAUUAUACUGAUUUUGAUUCAAGUGUUUUUUAAUUUACGUACUGUUGAAGGUAAAUUAAAAAAGUGUCCAAACAUGAUGAAUUCUUACUUGAUACAAAAAUAUGUGUACCAAAUUGUAAUUUAUAAAUUCGAGUGAUUUGUGAGAGGAGUAGUUGGCAAAGGUUUGACGUUUUUUUUUGCAUUUCGAUAUUUUAUUGGUCGCAAGCAAUAAAAAGGUGAAAACGCUAAUUACUAUGAUCAUUAAGUACUGAUCAGCAGUUUUUAUCAUGUUUUGCAUUAUGUUUUAAAUCGUUGCAUUUAUUUUGUUACUUGAUUUUUCGCUAAUGUGCAGAUUUUACUAUUUUUUAAGGGUGGAUUUUUUUAUCCUGAAUAUUUUUUUUAAAUCAAUUUUUAUCCGAAAUUUUAUACUAAAUCUAUGAAAAUUUAUGGCUAUUAAGAUAUUUACCUCGUGUGUAUAUAUGAAUAGAUAAUAAUUUAUACUUCUAAUCGCAUUUAGUUAAAACAAUUUGGCAAGAAUUUCCUGUACAAAAUCAUUUCGAGAUUUUUGUUACAAGAAUAUACUUGCAUAUUUAAUUUAGAAAUCUGAAUUAUAAUUGGAGGUUGAUAUAUUCUGAAGAAAAUAAAGUCCAGUGUGAAUAAUAGGCAAGCCUCAUGUUUACUCUAAUUUACUAUUUUUGACAUUACUUUCUUCCAGUAAAAGUUCCGUAUUUUGCUAAAUGGACAUAAUGAAAAUUGUAUAAAUAGUGAGGGUAUUUAUUACACUCUUAAAAAAAUCAAUAACCGUUGGUAUUGAUACGUGACUCUACCGCGUGGUAUUCAUCCGGUAUUGAAUUAAUACUACGUGGUAAAAAAUUUAAUACCAAUUAGUAUUAAAAUUAUUACCGUGAGGUAUAAUUUCAAUACCGGUUCUAUACCAAUACGGUAUAACCGUUUAAUACCAAGGCAGUAGAGUCACGUAUCAAUACCGUUACGUUUUUUUUCAAUACCAAGUUUCUAAGAGUGUACGAGUUCGCAACGUUAGCAAAAAAAGUCACAAGUUAGUAAAUUUGCAGACCUACACACCUCCAAGGAUAGUACACAAGUGUGAAAUAUUUGUAGUUCUCAAAAAUUUUCCCAAAAUUAUGCGAAUUUUCGAUCCAAAAAUGCAAACUCGUAAUGAAUACCCCCAUUAUAUUUCAAUUUAGUUCACACUUUGUAUCCUGUAAGAGAAAUAAAUUAAACAUCCUUUGUUUAUAAAGUUGAAUAAGUAUCGUCGUUGUGAAUGGACUCAUUAUGAGCUAAAUUAAAAAGGUACAUCAUUGUGCUAUCUUAAACUCACUACAUAGCUGAGCAAAUUAUUGCACCAAUUUCAGCUAGCAUAACACACAAUGUACCUUCAAUGGUGUAAAAAGUUCGAAUGAAAAAAAAACA